GGGCCCGCACAAGCGGAGGAGCAUGUGGUUUAAUUCGAUGAUACGCGAGGAACCUUACCAGGGCUUAAAUGGGAAACGACAGGACUGGAAACAGUUUUUUCUUCGGACGUUUUUCAAGGUGCUGCAUGGUUGUCGUCAGCUCGUGCCGUGAGGUGUCAGGUUAAGUCCUAUAACGAGCGCAACCCCUGUUGUUAGUUGCCAGCGAGUCAUGUCGGGAACUCUAGCAAGACUGCCAGUGCAAACUGUGAGGAAGGUGGGGAUGACGUCAAAUCAUCACGGCCCUUACGCCCUGGGCUACACACGUGCUACAAUGGACGGUACAGAGAGCAGCCACUGCGCAAGCAGGAGCGAAUCUACAAAACCGUUCUCAGUUCGGAUCGGAGUCUGCAACUCGACUCCGUGAAGCUGGAUUCGCUAGUAAUCGCAGAUCAGCCAUGCUGCGGUGAAUACGUUCCCGGGCCUU
rnacentral:rRNA from 1 species